rnacentral:rRNA from 1 species
GACAGAGGGUGCAAACGUUGUUCGGAAUUACUGGGCGUAAAGCGUGUGUAGGCGGCCAUUCAAGUCGGAUGUGAAAGCCCCGGGCUCAACCCGGGAAGUGCACCCGAAACUGGAUGGCUUGAGUAUCGGAGAGGUUGGUGGAAUUCUCGGUGUAGAGGUGAAAUUCGUAGAUAUCGAGAGGAACACCGGUGGCGAAGGCGGCCAACUGGACGAAUACUGACGCUGAGACACGAAAAGCGUGGGGAGCAAACAGG